AUACCUGAUUGAUUCUGUCAGCGCGAUAUGCUCAAGUAAAAGAUUAAGCCAUGCAUGCUUUGAUUCAUCAAUGAAAUUGCGUACGGCUCAUUAGAGCAGAUAUCACCUUAUCCGGGAUCCGGAUCCUCAUAUGGAUAACUGCGGAAAUACUGGAGCUAAUACAUGCAACUAUACCCCAACGCAAGGCGGGGUGCAAUUAUUAGAACAGACCAAACGUUUUCGGACGUUGUUUGUUGACUCUGAAUAAAGCAGUUUACUGUCAGUUUCGACUGACUCUAUCCGGAAAGGGUGUCUGCCCUUUCAACUAGAUGGUAGUUUAUUGGACUACCAUGGUUGUUACGGGUAACGGAGAAUAAGGGUUCGACUCCGGAGAGGGAGCCUUAGAAACGGCUACCACGUCCAAGGAAGGCAGCAGGCGCGAAACUUAUCCACUGUUGAGUAUGAGAUAGUGACUAAAAAUAUAAAGACUCAUCCUUUUGGAUGAGUUAUUUCAAUGAGUUGAAUACAAAUGAUUCUUCGAGUAGCAAGGAGAGGGCAAGUCUGGUGCCAGCAGCCGCGGUAAUUCCAGCUCUCCUAGUGUAUCUCGUUAUUGCUGCGGUUAAAAAGCUCGUAGUUGGAUCUAGGUUACGUGCCGCAGUUCGCAAUUUGCGUCAACUGUGGUCGUGACUUCUAAUUUGCUGGUUUGAGGUUGGGUUCGCCCUUCAACUGCCAGCAGGUUUACCUUGAAUAAAUCAGAGUGCUCAAUACAAGCGCUUGCUUGAAUAGCUCAUCAUGGAAUAAUGAAACAGGACUUCGGUUCUUUUUGUUGGUUCUAGAACUGAUUUAAUGGUUAAGAGGGACAAACCGGGGGCAUUCGUAUCAUUACGCGAGAGGUGAAAUUCGUGGACCGUAGUGAGACGCCCAACAGCGAAAGCAUUUGCCAAGAAUGUCUUCAUUAAUCAAGAACGAAAGUCAGAGGUUCGAAGGCGAUUAGAUACCGCCCUAGUUCUGACCGUAAACGAUGCCAUCUCGCGAUUCGGAGGGUUUUUGCCCUGCCGAGGAGCUAUCCGGAAACGAAAGUCUUUCGGUUCCGGGGGUAGUAUGGUUGCAAAGCUGAAACUUAAAGAAAUUGACGGAAGGGCACCACAAGGCGUGGAGCUUGCGGCUUAAUUUGACUCAACACGGGAAAACUCACCCGGUCCGGACACCAUUAGGACUGACAGAUUGAAAGCUCUUUCUCGAUUUGGUGGUUGGUGGUGCAUGGCCGUUCUUAGUUGGUGGAGUGAUUUGUCUGGUUUAUUCCGAUAACGAGCGAGACUCUAGCCUGCUAAAUAGUUGGCGAAUCUUCGGGUUCGUAUAACUUCUUAGAGGGAUAAGCGGUGUUUAGCCGCACGAGAUUGAGCGAUAACAGGUCUGUGAUGCCCUUAGAUGUCCGGGGCUGCACGCGUGCUACACUGGUGGAGUCAGCGGGUUUUUCCUAUGCCGAAAGGUAUCGGUAAACCGUUGAAAUUCUUCCAUGUCCGGGAUAGGGUAUUGUAAUUAUUGCCCUUAAACGAGGAAUGCCUAGUAAGUGUGAGUCAUCAGCUCACGUUGAUUACGUCCCUGCCCUUUGUACACACCGCCCGUCGCUAUCCGGGACUGAACUGAUUCGAGAAGAGUGGGGACUGUCGCUUCGAGGUUUAACGACUUCGUUGUUGCGGAAACCAUUUUUAUCGCAUUGGUUUGAACCGGGUAAAAGUCGUAACAAGGUAGCUGUAGGUGAACCUGCAGCUGGAUCAUCG
rnacentral:rRNA from 1 species